CAUUGAACAAUUCCCAAAUCGUUUCAACAUCAGCUUUAAUUUAACUGGUGUUGACACAUCAGUUAAAUUCUUUAAUCUAUCAAAUUAUAACAUUAAUACAGAUCACUUCUAAUUUUGCUUACAUGUCAUAAUUCUAUCUGACCUUUCCGUUGACCAAGUCUCGAGGCUCCGCAUCACAUCACUUUGAAGAAACAAUCCCCAAAUCGUUUCAUAUGUAUCACAUAUGCCAAAGUAUUGAUUCUUUUUUUUUUUUUUUUUUCGUUUUGGCAGGUACUUGUAUCGAUUCAUGUGGAGCUUAUAUAGAGGAUCAUGGGUUAUAAAUCUGAGACAUGGCCACAUGGGCGAUGAACGGAAAAGGUAUGUCAAUGGAGAUUGCUAUGACGGAGAGUGGAGGAGAGCUUUAGAAGAUGGACACGAUAGGUAUCAAUGGAAAACCGAGAAACAUUACAUCGGACAAUGGAAGAAUGGGUUGAUGAAUGGUAACAGGACCAUGAUUUGGAGUAACGGGAACCAUUACGAUGGGUCUUGGGAAGACGGAGCUCCUAAAGGGAAUUUUGAUUGGCAACCACAACAAGUGUUUUAUGUUGAUUUGAGUUCAUUUGUGGAUUCUACUUGUCAAAGAAUCGCGGUUUUCUGUCUAAAAAGAUGCAUGUUUGGUAUGAUUUUUCGCAGCAGAGUAGUAGUGGGAACAUGACCAAGAACAAUAAGAGGCCGAGGAGGAGAUUCAUUGAUGGAAGAGUUAGUAAUGGAGAAUGGAAUUGAGGAAUAAUGGUUCUGGUUAUCUUCAGUUAGAUGAUAAUGCAGAGAGUAAUAGAUCCUCAUUAGGGCCGUUGAGAAUACAGCGUGAUAAAAAACAAGGACAAACUAUCUCCAAAUGGCACAAGAAUUAUGAACUAUUUUUUUUUCCGCUUUCUUUGUUUGUUUUGCUUUGUUUGAUGUUGAGUGUUAUUUUUGUUAGGAAGACAUUUUUACGGCUACCAGCACCAGCGCUACUUCUCUUGAUUUGAUGGCUUCCGCAUUCGAUCGAAAGGGAAAACUUUGGACGAAAUUCCCAUAGGAAGGAUCAAUGUACACUCUUCCACACCAGUUUUGUGACUUCAAAUGAAAGAAUUAUAUUGUCUUCUGGUUUUCAGGAGCAAUGCAGAAACUAUUUAAUGUGGAUGCAACAGAUUAUAUUUUAUUGAUUUGUGGGAAUGAUGCUAUUAGGGAGCUAUCAUCUCCAAGAAAAAGUGAAAGCUUUUGUAGUUGACCAAUGAUGACCCCUACAUGAUCAAGAGUCAAGACUAUGAAGAAGGCAGAAAAAUUGGAUGUACUGAUGAGAAAAUACUUGCUCAUGCAUGUUUGAUUUGUGAUAAUGGGUAAUCUAUUUUGUACGGGUCACUGCAUCCAUAGGCGGUUUGACCUCAAAGGAUCCUCUCAUGGCCGUCUUACUACUAAACUAGAGUCUAAAAUCGAAACACGACGCUCAAAGAUCUUGAUCUAAAUUUUGCAAAAGAAUCAUCCCAAGAAUUUUGCAGGCAAGUGACAGAGACUGUGAAUUCCUUGAACAAGAAAGACUUUCUCUUGGCUGGUUUGAUAAAGUCAUAAAGACAUGAACUGUCUGGACGAGGAUCGAGCCUGAUUACUAAAGCUAUAGUAAAGUUUGAUAAAGACACAUAAUGUAACUUUUGGAAAAAGAUUUGUAGAAAAACUUUGAACGAACGUGGAGGCUAUUGGCAGUAAAAAACGAAGACAUUACUCAACAAAAAGGCUUCGUAAAUUUAAUGUUAGCCAAACACUAAGAAUUUUUCUUAAAAAAAAAUUU